GAAUAAGCGGGGGGCAAGCCUGGUGUCAGCCGCCGCGGUAAUACCAGCUCCGCGAGUGGUCGGGACGAUUAUUGGGCCUAAAGCGUCCGUAGCCGGCCUAUCAAGUCUCUGGUUAAACCUCAAGGCUCAACCUUGAGAUCGCUGGAGAUACUGUUAGGCUAGGGGGCGGGAGAGGUUGAGGGUACUUCGCGGGUAGGGGCGAAAUCCUAUAAUCCGCGAAGGACCACCAGUGGCGAAGGCGCUCAACUGGAACGCGCCCGACGGUGAGGGACGAAAGCCAGGGGAGCAAAGGGGAUUAGAUACCCCCGUAGUCCUGGCUGUAAACGAUGCGGGCUAGGUGUUGGGUUGGCUUCGUGCCAACCCGGUGCCGCAGUGAAGACGAUAAGCCCGCCGCCUGGGAAGUACGGCUGCAAGGCUGAAACUUAAAGGAAUUGGCGGGGGAGCACCACAAGGGGUGAAGCCUGCGGUUUAAUUGGAGUCAACGCCGGGAAUCUUACCG
rnacentral:rRNA from 1 species